rnacentral:lncRNA from 1 species
CCCUGUGCUGGGUAAAAGAGAUAACAUGAGGAACAAAAGCACACCUAGAAUCUGAAACUAAAAUUAACUUUCUUCAGCAAACAAUGUCCUAUCUGUCAGAAAGAGAUAAAUGAAUUCUUAGAGUUUGGCUGCACAGAAUAUUGUCUUAUGGAACUUCAAAAAUCAUUAGAUCCAUCUUCAUAAAAAGAACUCUUGCAGUCAAAUAACCUGUUUCCAGGAAAGGAAUGGCCAUGGCGUAUAGACCAACCUGGACUUGCGGAUGAAACUACGCUAAUGGGCAUCAAGUUUAUUUGAAUUUGAGUUUUAAACUGAACGUCUGCCAGAGAAGGAGACUUGAUUUGAUAUUUUUAUAUAAUCUGUAUUUUAGUAAACUAAAGUCUAUGUAUGUAAUCUGAUAUAUAUGUAAUAAAUA